rnacentral:pre_miRNA from 2 species
GAUUUCAACUGAAAAAGUCAUCAAAAACAAAGUGAUAUAACUCAAGAUCUAUAACUUUUAUUUUGGUCAUUUCUUCAUCCGACAAAGUGAUUUGUAAGAUUGUUCACAAAAUGAACAUAUCUCUUAUAUAGUUUUAUAAACUAUAAGCGAGAUAUGUAAAUUUUGUGAAAAUGUUACUAUCACUUUGUCGGAUGAAGAAAUGACCAAAAUAAAAGUUAUAGAUCUUGAUGAGUUAUACAACUUUGUUGUUGAUGACUUUUUCAACUAAAAUC